GUGCUCACCUUGGCAGCACAUAUACUAAAAUUGGAAUGAUACAGAGAAGAUUAGCAUGGCCCCUGCACAAGGAUGACAUGCAAAUUCGUGAAGCAUUCCAUAUUUUU
rnacentral:snRNA from 1 species